GCUGAUCCGCUGCUCGGCGGCCAAGGGCCGGCCAAGGAUUGCGAAAAGGACCAAUUCCAGUGCCGGAACGAGCGCUGCAUCCCCUCUGUGUGGAGAUGCGACGAGGACGAUGACUGCUUAGACCACAGCGACGAGGACGACUGCCCCCCUUCCAGGCCCAUUUGGUGCGAAGCCAGCUGGGAGGUGUAGAUGUGCAAGUCCCCAGGACGGGCCCCUACC
rnacentral:lncRNA from 1 species